rnacentral:rRNA from 1 species
UACGUAGGGGGCAAGCGUUGUCCGGAAUCAUUGGGCGUAAAGAGCGUGUAGGCGGUCCGGUAAGUCCGCUGUGAAAGUCGGGGGCUCAACCCUCGAAUGCCGGUGGAUACUGUCGGGCUAGAGUACGGAAGAGGCGAGUGGAAUUCCUGGUGUAGCGGUGAAAUGCGCAGAUAUCAGGAGGAACACCAAUUGCGGAAGGCAGCUCGCUGGGACGUUACUGACGCUGAGACGCGAAAGCGUGGGGAGCAAACAGG